UGCUCGAUACUGACUCAAAGUUCGUAGUCGGCGUCACGCGCAUUGCAAUCCUGGACUAAGCAGACGAUGCUACGGAACUAGCAUCUAGAGUUACAGAGCAUGACUACGGUGUAGCGCUGCAAUGCGUAGAUAUCGUAGUACAUCGACGCGAAGCUGACUCGCUGGAUCACACUGACGUUGUGGACGAAGCUAGGGAGCAAACAGAUUAGAUACCCUGGUAGUCCUAGCCCUAACCAUCAGGACUUGGGGUUGCCCUGUACGGGGCAAGUGCCGUAGCUAACGCGUUAAGUCCUGCGCCUGGGGAGUACGGUCGCAAGGCUCAAACUCAAAGGAAUUGACGGGGGCCCGCACAAGCGGUGGAACAUGUGGUUCAAUUCGACGCAACGCGAAGACCCUUACCUGGGCUUGAACCGCACAGGACCAGCUUUAGAAAUAGAGCCUUCCCGCAAGGGACCUGUGUAGAGGUGCUGCAUGGCUGUCGUCAGCUCGUGCCGUGAGGUGUUGGGUUAAGUCCCGCAACGAGCGCAACCCUUACUCUUAGUUGCCACCCGCAAGGGGGAUCUCUAGGAGGACUGCUCCGGAUAACGGAGAGGAAGGUGGGGAUGAGGUCAAGUCAGCAUGGCCUUUAUGUCCAGGGCUACACACGUGUUACAAUGCGCGCUACAAAGUGUCGCGAACCCUCGAGGGGGAGCUAAUCGCAAAAAAGCGCGCUCAGUUCGGAUUGCAGUCUGCAACUCGACUGCAUGAAGCUGGAAUCGCUAGUAAUGGCGCAUCAGAUCGGCGCCGUGAAUACGUUCCCGGGCCUUGUACACACCGCCCGUCACAUCACGAAAGUGGGCUGUACUAGAAAUCGCCGAGCCAACCGCACGGAGGCAGGCGCUCAAGGUAUGACUCAUGAUUGGGGUGAAGUCGUAACAAGGUAACCA
rnacentral:rRNA from 1 species